rnacentral:rRNA from 1 species
GUAGGUGGCAAGCGUUGUCCGGAAUUAUUGGGCGUAAAGCGCGCGCAGGCGGUUCUUUAAGUCUGAUGUGAAAGCCCACGGCUCAACCGUGGAGGGUCAUUGGAAACUGGAGAACUUGAGUACAGAAGAGGAAAGCGGAAUUCCACGUGUAGCGGUGAAAUGCGUAGAGAUGUGGAGGAACACCAGUGGCGAAGGCGGCUUUCUGGUCUGUAACUGACGCUGAGGCGCGAAAGCGUGGGGAGCAAACAGGGAAUAGAUACCCUGGUAGUCCACGCCGUAAACGAUGAGUGCUAAGUGUUAGGGGGUUUCCGCCCCCUUAGUGCUGCAGCUAACGCAUUAAGCACUCCGCCUGGGGAGUACGGCCGCAAGGCUG